rnacentral:rRNA from 1 species
GUUGUUCGGAUUCAUUGGGAGUAAAGGGUGCGUAGGUGGCGUCGUACGUCGGGUGUGAAAUUUCGGAGCUCAACUCCGAAACUGCAUUCGAUACUGCAGUGCUUGAGGACUGGAGAGGAGACUGGAAUUUACGGUGUAGCAGUGAAAUGCGUAGAGAUCGUAAGGAAGACCAGUGGCGAAGGCGGGUCUCUAGACAGUUCCUGACACUGAGGCACGAAGGCCAGGGGAGCAAACGGG